rnacentral:rRNA from 1 species
UUAUAGCAUUUGAUGCAGCAAGUCCACGUACUCUUGAUGGUAAUUCUUGGCCUGUUGUGCUCAUUGUUUUUAAGAUUACUUGCAUUUGGUGUGUUGGCCCCCCCCCAGACUGUAUGUUGACGUUAGUAUUUUAACCUAAUAACCAAUCCUGACACAGGGUCUGCAGGCAUUAGUAUGAUUUAAUACCCAAUUCCUGACACAGGGAGGUAGUGACAAGAAAUAACAAUACAGGGCUAAUGUCUUGUAAUUGGAAUGAUGGUGACCCAAACCCUCACCAGAGUAGCAAUUGGAGGGCAAGUCUGGUGCCAGCAGCCGCGGUAAUUCCAGCUCCAAUAGCGUAUAUUAAACUUGUUGCAGUUAAAAAGCUCGUAGUUGAAUUUUAGCGUGUUCGAGUUUGCCAUUCGUUUGGCUUUUUCGAGUUCGCUUUUGGGUUUUCCCUUUUUACUUUGAGAAAAUUAGAGUGUUUCAAGCAGACUUUUGUCUUGAAUACUUCAGCAUGGAAUAAUAGAGUAGGACUUUGGUUCUAUUUUGUUGGUUAUUGAACCUUAGUAAUGGUUAAUAGGAACGGUUGGGGGCAUUCGUAU